rnacentral:misc_RNA from 1 species
CUCCACGAGGAUCGCCCGCCUCGAGGAGCCCCACGGGAUGCCCUGAAAUCUCCUUGAGCAUGCUUCCCUCUACCUCUUUGAAGAGGUCUAGACAAUCUUGCUCUAACCUUUACCUUGCUUUCUCCUUCGCCGAGCUCAGUAUUAUUAAUGCCUUCAGCACAUGCAACUGCAGCUUCGUGUGUAUCAAAAGUAACAAAUCCAAAAUCCUUUCUCUUGG